AUUGAACGCUGGCGGCAGGCCUAACACAUGCAAGUCGAGCGGAUGAAGGGAGCUUGCUCCUGGAUUCAGCGGCGGACGGGUGAGUAAUGCCUAGGAAUCUGCCUGGUAGUGGGGGAUAACGUCCGGAAACGGGCGCUAAUACCGCAUACGUCCUGAGGGAGAAAGUGGGGGAUCUUCGGACCUCACGCUAUCAGAUGAGCCUAGGUCGGAUUAGCUAGUUGGUGGGGUAAAGGCCUACCAAGGCGACGAUCCGUAACUGGUCUGAGAGGAGGAUCAGUCACACUGGAACUGAGACACGGUCCAGACUCCUACGGGAGGCAGCAGUGGGGAAUAUUGGACAAUGGGCGAAAGCCUGAUCCAGCCAUGCCGCGUGUGUGAAGAAGGUCUUCGGAUUGUAAAGCACGUUAAGUUGGGAGGAAGGGCAGUAAGUUAAUACCUUGCUGUUUUGACGUUACCAACAGAAUAAGCACCGGCUAACUACGUG
rnacentral:rRNA from 1 species